UACGUAGGGUGCGAGCGUUGUUCGGAAUUAUUGGGCGUAAAGAGCUCGUAGGCGGCUUGUCGCGUCGGAUGUGAAAGCCCGGGGCUUAACUCCGGGUCUGCAUUCGAUACGGGCAGGCUAGAGUUCGGUAGGGGGAGAUCGGAAUUCCGUGGUGUAGCGGUGAAAUGCGCAGAUAUCAGGAGGAACACCGGUGGCGAAGGCGGAUCUCUGGGGCCGAUACUGACGCUGAGGAGCGAAAGCGUGGGGAGCGAACAGG
rnacentral:rRNA from 1 species